UUUGAAAAACCUAAUCAAAUCAAACGGCCACAAAUACAAUUCCGUAUUUCAGUGACGCGCAAGUAAAAUACCACUUCGUCGCUCACUUCAGCAUAAUAUCCGUUCUGAAGCCCUGUGAAGGCCGAAAAGAGAAAAACAAGAAUGGGCCGCUCGGUUCUCUCUCACUUCCUCAUCCUCUCCAAUACUUCCCCACGCUUCACCUCUUCAAUGUCAUAUGGAAUUCCGAGUAAAUUCUUGAAAAGGCAUGCAUCGAUUUGUCGUCCCCAACUUCCCAGUAGUCUCAGCAUUGCAGGUUUCCGAUGCAAUUGCAGCGUCUCAGUCUCGCAGCCGGCCGCGCCGGAGACUUCUUCAAGCUCCUUAAAGAAGAGGAUAGUGUCUGGAGUUCAGCCAACAGGAUCUUUACACCUUGGGAAUUAUCUUGGUGCGAUAAAGAAUUGGAUCUCACUGCAGAAUACAUAUGAUACUCUCUUCUUCAUUGUGGACCUACAUGCGAUAACUCUACCAUAUGACACGCGGCAACUAUCUAGAGCAACAAAAGAUACAGCAGCCAUCUACUUGGCAUGUGGUGUGGACACAUCCAAGGCUUCUGUGUUUGUUCAAUCUCAUGUGCGUGCUCAUGUAGAAUUGAUGUGGUUGCUGAGUUCUGCCACCCCUAUUGGUUGGCUGAACAGAAUGAUUCAAUUUAAAGAGAAAUCUCGCAAAGAGGGGGAUGAAAAUGUUGGGGUUGCCCUUCUGACUUAUCCUGUUUUGAUGGCUUCUGAUAUUCUUUUAUAUCAGUCUGACUUUGUCCCAGUUGGCGAGGAUCAGAAGCAACAUCUAGAGCUGACUCGAGAGCUGGCUGAGCGUGUUAAUUAUAUGUAUGGUGGAAGGAAGUGGAAGAAAUUGGGAGGACGAGGUGGUGCAAUUUUUAAGGUUCCUGAGCCCCUUAUUCCUCCUGCUGGAGCCCGGGUGAUGUCCCUCACUGAUGGUCUUUCCAAGAUGUCCAAGUCUGCACCUUCUGAUCAGUCUCGAAUUAAUUUGCUCGACCCCAAAGAUGUAAUAGCAAACAAGAUUAAACGUUGCAAGACUGACUCAUUUCCUGGCUUGGAGUUUGACAAUCCCGACAGACCUGAAUGCAACAACCUCCUUUCGAUAUAUCAGCUCAUGACAGGCAGGACAAAACAGGAAGUUGCACAAGAAUGCCAAGAUAUGAAUUGGGGCACAUUCAAACCCCUUCUUACAGAUGCUUUGAUUGAUCAUCUACAUCCCAUCCAGAUUCGCUAUGAGGAAAUAAUAUCUGAUGCAGCUUAUUUGGAUGAAGUUUUGGCAGACGGUGCCAGAAAAGCUGCAGAUAUAGCUGAUGUUACUCUCAGUAAUGUUUACGAGGCAAUGGGAUUCUUGCGGAGAUGAGCUGAAUCAUUGCUAUUAGAAGAACUUGUGUACGGUUCAGAAGAAAACAACCUUAAACUUACUUUUGGAUCACUAACAUCAGCCAUGAGUUUUGGGACCAUGCCAAGGAAUUCAUUCUUGACAGGAAACUAAACAAAGGAAAGGAGUCUUUAAUUCAAUAUUGAAACGAAGAAGAAAAAACUAGAUCAUUUUUCAUCGUAUGCUGGGACUUCCAAAGUAAGAUGUAGGGAGCACUGUUUUUGUAUUUCACUUUUGUUUUGCAACCUGAACCUAGCAUUACUACUGAGGUUUAUUGUGUCUGUUGUGGAUUUCUUAUCAACAAAAGAGAUAGUGACGGGGAAAAGAAGGAAUAUCAAUCUGUCCACUGACCAGAAAAAAACAUGGAAUCGUUGUUUGAUCCUAUUCCACCCAUCCACACCACAGCUUUUUUUUUCUUUUACAUAGGAGGGUGCGGAACCUUUUGGCGAGAUAGUGAGAGGUCAAUGGUACUGCAAGUUCUCUCUCUCUCAACAUUUUUGUUGAAUUGCUGAGAGAUGGACAGAGGAACAUGAUGAGGACCACAAUCAACCAUUUCAAUCUUUGUCGAUAUUUUACACUCUAGUUUUGCUCUUUUGGUUA